rnacentral:sRNA from 1 species
CACACCGGUCCGGAGUCAGUGGGUUAUCUGUUCAUCCCAUCAGGAAAACUUCCUCGGGAGUAUCCCAUUGGCACAACCUUGACCGUUGU